rnacentral:rRNA from 1 species
UCCAGACUCCUCGGGAGGCAGCAGUGGGGAAUAUUGCACAAUGGGGGAAACCCUGAUGCAGCGACGCCGCGUGAGUGAAGAAGUAUUUCGGUAUGUAAAGCUCUAUCAGCAGGGAAGAAAAACCGACCUUAGGGUCGCUAGACGGUACCUGAUUAAGAAGCCCCGGCUAACUACGUGCCAGCAGCCGCGGUAAUACGUAGGGGGCAAGCGUUAUCCGGAUUUACUGGGUGUAAAGGGCGAGUAGGCGGGAUUGCAAGUCAGAUGUGAAAACUAUGGGCUCAACCGGUAGAGUGCAUUUGAAACUGCAGUUCUUGAGUGAUGGAGAGGCAGGCGGAAUUCCCGGUGGAGCGGUGGAAUGCGUAGAUAUCGGGAGGAACACCAGUGGGGAAGGCGGCCUGCUGGACAUUAACUGACGCUGAGGCUCGAAAGCGUGGGGAGCAAACAGGAUUAGAUACCCCCGUAA